rnacentral:rRNA from 1 species
AAAGCUCAAAUUUGGAAUCUGGCGGUCUUUGGCCGCCCGAGUUGUAGUCUGGAGAAGCGCUUUCCGCGCCGGACCGUGUAAAAGUCCCUUGGAAUAGGGCGUCAUAGAGGGUGAGAAUCCCGUCUUUGACACGGACCACCGGUGCUCUGUGAUGUGCUCUCAAAGAGUCGAGUUGUUUGGGAAUGCAGCUCAAAACGGGUGGUAAAUUCCAUCUAAAGCUAAAUACAGGCGAGAGACCGAUAGCGAA